GGUGUCUUGUUAAAAUGCUGCUUCUGAUUCAGUAGGUCUGGGGUGGGGCCUAAGACUCUGCAUUUCUAACAAGUUC
ensembl:miRNA